rnacentral:miRNA from 14 species
CGGCGGAAAAUAUGGUGGUAUA